GUCAAUUGUCCCUCUAAGCCAAGUUUUGAAGAAUAUGAACUCCCCUUCUCUUGAGCCCUGUAUCCGUCCCAAUGGGAACCUGACAGCACCCGUUUUAAGGUGCUCCCCUCUGAGCAGAGGUGGGGCCGGCAAUUUCCUACCAAAUUUAUCUUCAGUGCCUGUAGACAGAAACUUCUAUUUGCCUCCCCACCCCCUGCCAGGUGAACUCCAACACUUCUCCUUAGCCUCACUUGGUAAUGAACGUACCCAUGUGCUGCAAACAACCUUUGUGCUGUUUUCUGGCCCGGAAGAAAACUCUUUUAGUGUCUAAUUCCUGGCCGGCCCUCUCUCCCUCCCUGCCUCAUUUCCCCUUCUCCCAGCUGGCUGACCCCCCACCCCCCUUCCUGGCAGCCGGCUGGGCGGUGCGUGCCCCUGGCCUCUGGCCUCUGGAGAAAAGAGACCUCAUCACCUACCUCGAUUAGACCUUGUAAAAACGAACAGGAACCUACCCCAAACACAAAUAUCUCAGCUAUUUAUUAUUUUUGAGUGCUCACCAUUGUUUUUCUCUCUUUCUUACGCUUUUUCUACAGCUGUGAAAUUGGAUAUGCCAUACAACAUGCUCUUCGGCUGGUCAGGAAACAAAGAAUUUAAACUUCAUGAGGAUGUGAUUUUUGACUGUUGGGCUCAUGGCUAUCUUCUCACCAUCUAGAGCUAGCUGUUCCUGGCACAUAAAUAUUUGUGGACUGAAUAAGUGAUGGAUGCCUGUUUUUGGAAAGAGUACAGAUCUGUGUGGCUGGAAGGAUCACUGACAGUGAGAACAUCAGGCACCAUGGGCUUCUCACAUGAUAUCCACAUGGUUACAUGGCCUGUGCUCCAGUCCCCAACAGGGGGUGGCACUUGGAGUGAAAUGGAAAAACCUCUGUGUCCUACCACUGUUCUAGAGGAGAAGGCUCUGACUCCCCAGAGGGACAGAAGAGCUGCCAGCCAGGACCCUGCAGGCCUGAGUGGCAAUGCCCCGGACAGAUGCUCGUGGACAUCCUGUCCAACUCAGCAAGCCUGGGGGAAGCUGGGACCGGUCAGCGGGUCAGCCAGGAGGAUAAUGGUCAAGUCUACCUGGCCUCGGGGCAAAUUCCUGGGGAAAGGGAGAGGCUAGCGGGUGAGAGAACUCAACUCAAGGGAGUCUUCUGGCUCAGAAUCUCUUUUUGAGGCUCAGAACACAGGUGCUCAAGCCCCACACCUAGAGAUUCUGAGGUGAGGUCAGGGCUCCCGUGUAUCUUUGUUUAAGUCCCACAGGUACGCAGAUUCUCUUGUACUUGUACUCUGUGAUCUGUGCCAUUUGGCAGGAACUAUCAGAAUUUUAAACGUUUAUGCCCUUUGACCUAGUAAUUUCACUUCUAAGAAUUUCCUCUACAGCGAUACGGGUGUACCCUGCGAAAUGAAGAGGCUCUGAAGAUAGGCGAUGCAGCCUUGUUUGUAAUAGCAAAGACUAGAAACAACCCACAUGUGCAGAAAGGUUCUGAUUUUUAAAAACUGUGGUCCGGCCAAACAACGACUGCUCUGUGUCUUUUUUAAAAAGACAGAGGAAGUGCUCUGGGGACUGAUGUGGAACGAUGUCCAAGAUUUAUUUGUGAAGUUAGGAAAAGUAAAGAGGAGGACAGUGUGCAGAGCAUGCUACCCUUUGUACGAUCUGAGGUUGUGUAGGCACAUGCCAUCUCGUCAGAAAUUUGGAACAACGGUCGCCUCUGGAAAGGGAACUGGAUGGCUGGGGAACGGGAACAGGAGGGACGCUUGCUUUCCGGAGCAUUUUAUACCUUAUAUAUCUACUUAAAAGAUAGGAGAAAAGGGAGAGCUUCAGAGUAGUCCUGCUGUUCACAAAGAUUAAGAACCAACGUGAAGGAAGGGGAGGCGUGUCUCUGAAAAGACAAAAGACCAUUCCGCUGAGGGUGAAAACAUUUGCCCCCCCGGGGGCAGGAAUGGGUGGGCACCAGCCAGGAACAGAGGGCUAGUCUGGAGUACACACAGCUAGGCUGAAGCAAUCAUGCACGGGAGUCUGGUUCUGAUUCACUGAGUUGACCCAAAAGACGCUAACUUCCCUUCUCUUGGAUCUCAUUGCCCUUUGGACAGUGAGCCGUGGUUCUAGCCCUUGAUUCUGACCGCAACUUUCUUCAAAUCCGGCGGUUUUUCUCUGUCCAAGUCUCGUCUUUGGCUUCCUUUCUGCCUCCUCUGGCCUGAAACCUUUCUCUUAGCAUAUCCACUCUACCUUGAGUAGCCUGAUUUUGCAGAUAAGCUCUUACCCAGAUGGCAGCGGUUCCAACAUCCCAUGUGACAAUGCUCCCUGGUGUCCCAUUCACAGAAUUUCCCACCCCCUCCUCCCUUUUCCUGCACACAGCUCUUAGUCAAUCCCCUGGAGCUGCCUCCAACUCUUUGCUGGUAUCUGUUCCCGGCAACUUUUUUCUUCGCCAGCACAUCCUGCCUUAAAUUCUUAGUUUCUUGAAACAGAGCCUAUUAAGGCUUCAAAACACGAUUUUUCUGAUCUCACAGUUCAUAAAAAAGCUUCUUUUCCUUCCCUCAUCCCAACCUUCCUUUCUGCAUGUCCAUUACAUACCGCCCUGGCCUGAGUGCAAAACAAUCUCUCAGGGCACACGUGAAGAGACUUCAUGUCCACGUUCGCAGUGAACUGUGGCUUCUGCUUUCCAGAUGGACUUACUCUGAACCAACACAUAUUUCUAGGAUGUAGUAUUUAAAUGCACAGGCUCUACAUUCAAACUCCCCACGUUUUAAUUCUUUCUUUGCCAGCUGCAUGAUUAGAUGUGAGACCUUGAGAAAAUUACUUUACUUCCCUGGGCCUCAUUUUUCUAAUAUGUAAAAUGGGGGAAAGAACAUUUGUCUUACAGGGAUGUUGUGAGGAUAAAAGAAGAUGUAAAUAAAAUGCUGACUGCAGAACCCGGCCUAUAUUAAGCUCUCAAAAAACAACACCUGGGGCGCCUGGGUGGCUCAGGCAGUUGAGCGUCCGACUUCAGCUCAGGUCAUGAUCUCGCAGUCUGUGAGUUCGAGCCCCGCGUCGGGCUCUGUGCUGACAGCUCAGAGCCUGGAGCCUGCUUCUGAUUCUGUGUCUCCCUUUCUCUCCGCCCCUCCCUGAUUCAUGCUCUCUUUCUGUCUCAGAAAUAAACAUUUUAAAAAAACCCAAAAAAACCUGUUUUAUUAUUGUUACAACUGAUUUGGCUUUAGAACUUUCUUCUAGACUAUGUUCACUGGUUUUAUACCUGAAUGCUAGCGUUAUUAUAUGAGCCUAAUGAAUGAAGACCAUAUCUUCUUAACCAAUAUAUAUAUAUAUAUUUAUGGCACAUUCGAUAUGCAUGGCCUCUUGUCUUAAAAAGAGCUGGGCCAGACAGGGUAUGUCCUAUAACUUUCCCAUUCCUAUUUCACAGAGGGAUAGAGAUACAUUAAGUAGCUCUUCCAAAGUCACAGCUGAAUCUAGCCUAUAGAUCUCCGAGAUCUUUCCAUUAAACCACAUAGAUCAGGAGCAAACUUUUUCCGUAAAAGUCCAGAGAGUAAAGAGUUCACGCUUUAUGGACCACAGAUGGUCUCUGUCUCAUACUCUUGCUUAUUUAAAGAAUUCGUUUUUAAGCAACACUUUAAAAAUACAAAAGCCAUUUUUAGCAGUAUGCUGUAGCAAAAACAGACUAUGGGUCACAUUUGGCCUGAGGGUUAUAGUUUACCAAUGGCUGAUACAGAUUACACUGAUAAAAUACAAAGAAACCUUCCCUUUUAUUAGUAGUAACUGCUAAUAUUUGUUGAAUGUUUACUAUGUGUCAAAUAUUGUUCCAAGUGCUUUACAUGUAUUAACUUAUUUCAUCCUCACAGCUACCUUAUUUGGUAGGUAUGAUUGUCAACCUCAUUUUACAGAUGGGGAAACUGAGACACAGGGAGGUUAAGUGACUUUCCCAAGGUCAUAUGUCCAGCAAGCAGCACAGACAGGAUUCAAAUCCAAGCAGUUCAGCACCAGAACCCGUGCACUUAACAAUCUGUUUCUUGGUUAAGAACCCUGACUUUGAAGGGUGGGGGAGGGGAUUGGAGCAGCUGAGUAACCCCUGGAAGCUUCUGGAAUGAAUAUGUUUCAGACUCUUCACCUUGAAGCUAAGGAGGCGUGGAUACGGGCCACCUGUGUUUUAUAAAGGAUUACCGGGCGGGAAACCUGUGGUGGCUUUCCUUCAUUCCAGUACAAUAGAGGACAUGGAUGAGGACUGCAGAGGCAUCUUGAUUUGAGAAAAGCACUUGAUUGGAUCUCAUUAAAUUUUAAUCAUAAACUGAAUUCAAAAUAAAUUGAAAACUGGUUGACAGAGCACAAACAAAGGGUGAUGAUAAAUGGUGAUGCAUCUAGAGAGGGGAUAUCUUCCAGGGGACGCCUCUGAGGCAAGGACGGAUGGGAUUUAAUGAAGGUGUUAUGUCCCUGGAAGAAGACAAAUAGACAGCGAGAAACAGAGGAAGGGCAGGAGUGAGCAGCCUGAGUAAUUAAUAAACCACAUUACCAGCUCCUAAAUAAUCAAGGCUUGCUGUUCACCAACCACGUGGAUUUUUUUUUUUUUUUUAAAGAAUUCUUUGGGUCAACAAUAGUCUUGAAGAGUCCUAGAGGCACACACCAUGAAUAUUUCAGGUGGACGUAAUAAAUAUAUAC